GGCUGCCGAGGGUGUGAGUGGAAGUGAUCUAGAGAAGAGAAAGGAAGUGGAAAGACAGAAGAAGAAUAUGUUGAAGAGUUUAAAUAUGUUUGUGUCGGAUACUAGAUUGUGUGUCCGAAACCUGCCUGUAAGUUGGGAUGAUAAGAAAUUGCGGAAGCUAUUUUUGGAGAAUGCUCC